UGCAGAAUCCCGUGAACCAUCGAGUCUUUGAACGCAAGUUGCGCCCCAAGCCUUCUGGCCGAGGGCACGUCUGCCUGGGCGUCA
rnacentral:rRNA from 4 species